rnacentral:rRNA from 1 species
UACGUAGGUGGCAAGCGUUGUCCGGAUUUACUGGGCGUAAAGAGCGCGCAGGCGGUCGGAUAAGUCGAAUGUGAAAGCCCCCGGCUCAACUGGGGAGGGUCAUUCGAUACUGUUCGACUCGAAGGCAGGAGAGGGAAGUGGAAUUCCCGGUGUAGUGGUGAAAUGCGUAGAUAUCAGGAGGAACACCGGUGGUGUAGACGGCUUACUGGACCACGACUGACACUGAGGCACGAAAGCGUGGGUAGCAAACAGG